rnacentral:rRNA from 1 species
GUGGGGAAUUUUGGACAAUGGGCGCAAGCCUGAUCCAGCCAUGCCGCGUGCAGGAUGAAGGCCUUCGGGUUGUAAACUGCUUUUGUACGGAACGAAAAAGCUCUCUCUAAUACAGGGGGUGAAUGACGGUACCGUAAGAAUAAGCACCGGCUAACUACGUGCCAGCAGCCGCGGUAAUACGUAGGGUGCAAGCGUUAAUCGGAAUUACUGGGCGUAAAGCGUGCGCAGGCGGUUAUGUAAGACAGAGGUGAAAUCCCCGGGCUCAACCUGGGAACUGCCUUUGUGACUGCAUAGCUGGAGUGCGGCAGAGGGGGAUGGAAUUCCGCGUGUAGCAGUGAAAUGCGUAGAUAUGCGGAGGAACACCGAUGGCGAAGGCAAUCCCCUGGGCCUGCACUGACGCUCAUGCACGAAAGCGUGGGGAGCAAACAGGAUUAGAUACCCCGGUAGUCC